GGUUUCCUACGGGGGGCAGCAGUGGGGGAUAUUGCACAAUGGGGGAAACCCUGAUGCAGCGACGCCGCGUGGGCGAAGAAGUAUUUCGGUAUGUAAAGCCCUAUCAGCAGGGAAGAAGAAAUGACGGUACCUGAGUAAGAAGCACCGGCUAAAUACGUGCCAGCAGCCGCGGUAAUACGUAUGGUGCAAGCGUUAUCCGGAUUUACUGGGUGUAAAGGGAGCGCAGGCGGCACGGCAAGACUGAUGUGAAAGCCCGCGGCUCAACCGCGGGACUGCUUUUGAAACUGUGUAGCUAGAGUGCAGGG
rnacentral:rRNA from 1 species